AGAAUUUCAUAUAUUGAUCUGUGGAUGAAAGAUGAAGAAUAUGUCAAGAUCUUUAAAUGCAAAACAUUGAAAAGGAUGUAAAUCUGAUGGAUCAGGAUGGAAUGACGUCUUUCAUGCGGGCAGCUUAUAGAACACAGAGCAAACUAGUAGAAGCACAUAACCAGGAUUUAUACUUCUACACAGUUGUUUUUGAUCCAGGAUUAUGUAAGAAAAAAAGGGAGUGGGAUAUGGUACUUAACCAAAAGAGAACAAACAGUUGAUGGGGUCUGGACGUUAAGAAGAGAUCACAAGUAGGCAGAGAGGCAGGAGAAAGAGAAAGAGAGAGAAGAAGAAGCAGGCUCCCUGCUGAGCAGAGACCCUGAUGCGAGACUCAAUCCGAGGACCCUGGGAUCAUAACCUGAGCCAUAGACAGAGGCUUUAACCCACUGAGCCA